GGGCUCCAGCUUGCCGCGGCCAGCCGGCCGCCUGCUCGCACCCCGCCCGGGCCGCCCCCCGCCAUGAGCGCCGCGCGCUGGCUGCAGGCAGAGUCGCUGCCGCCCGGCCGCCGCUGGCUCCAGUCCGCCGCCAUUAUUCUUUGUUCGCUGCGAGCGGCGGCGGUGUUGUGGGGCUCGGGCGGAGGCUCCAUCUUUACCGCGGCCCCUCCUGCGAGGGGAAGGCCCCGAGCGCGGGUGUCCGGCGCCUCCCCGGCCCCCCUCCGUCCCCCCGGCUCUCUCCGGCUCCUGCCUCCUCCUCCUGCUCCUCUUACCGGUGGUACAAGCUCCUCCGUCACUGCUUUCGUUCGCGGCCCGGAUCUCGCUGGAGUUUUAUUCUCUCCCCCACGUAACACACCGCGUCAAACUACACCUCCGCCGCGUCACUCACCAACACUCCGCUUCUCCCAGCCGCCCGGGCCACAGGCAGCAGCAGCCGCCGCCGACUGAGGAGCCGCAGCCAGGGAGCCAGCCAGCGCCGCCCAGUGCCGAGUGCGCAGCGGCCACUCACGGAAACAGCCGAGCUCGGCCCGGAGCCGCUCGAGAGGCCCCGCCCCCACGCUGGCGGCGGAACCUGCCGAAGGCUUUCGGCCUCUUCCGGGAGCAGCAAAGGCAUGGAUCGCGGAAGACAGGUGUAGGCGGGUUGAGACCCGCUCUGCUGGAGCGGUCCAAACCUCAAUACGGCGAGCUGAGGCUUCAAACGCCGGCUGAGGAAAUUUGGAGGAAGCGGGGUUUGAGUGCGGCCAGAUCGGGGGAUUCCCGGGGUGGCGGGGACUUGAUGGAAACCCCCGCGCGGUCUGAUCCUGCGGCGGAAGCAGACCGCCCGGGAACUUUGACAAGCCGCGAGGGUCAGGAGCCGUGCCGGCGAGCUGGAAGGGCAGGCGGACGCCGGCCACCAGCAAGGGGAAUCUGCCGAGAACUGUCUAAAGGGCCCCAGGUGGUUCUUUGCCGGAAUGAAAGCUACCUGACACGUGGCAUGUGAGAUUCUGCUUGGCUGCCUGUACAGCCAGAGCCCUGCGGGGAGGAAAACCAUAGGACACAGAAGAGGCUGAUUUGGAGCAGAGAGAGCAUCCAGAUGUGGGGGUGACAGAUGGAAUCGGCAGGGAAGGAUUUGUUCUCGGGAUCCUUAAGGCUCUAUUGGCUGUGACAGUUUCUCAGACUUUUCUCCUUCGAUGGACCUGAGAGUUUAAAGAAGACUGUCAUUGUGGAAGGCCUGUCCUUCAUUACAAUUUGUCCUCGGCAUAUUUUAAUUAUGAUCUGGGAGAUUGGAAAACCUUGUUAUUGUCCCUGGAGCUGUUACUCCAAAUUACAGAGAACCUUCAACAGACCUCCAGCGUGGCGUGAAGAUGUCUUGAGUAAGAUAACAUGAAGAUAUACUCAAGGACCACUGAGCAUCCCCCCAGGGCAUUUCCUGUCCUAUGAAUACCAGUCUGAAGACCUUGGGCCAAGUUGUUGGGUUUUAGUUCUUCCUCACUUCUGAGGAAGGGUUCUGAAGCUUAAUGAAACUAGACUUUUGGUGUGCAUCUGGAAAAGUCAUUGGAUUUCUCCGAACCUACUGAUUAAUCUAUUAAAAUUCGAGAGCUAGGCACAAUUAGAAGAGUGGAAAGUCAAG
rnacentral:lncRNA from 1 species